rnacentral:rRNA from 1 species
AUUGAACGCUGGCGGCAUGCCUUACACAUGCAAGUCGAACGGUAACAGGUCUUCGGAUGCUGACGAGUGGCGAACGGGUGAGUAAUACAUCGGAACGUGCCUAGUAGUGGGGGAUAACUACUCGAAAGAGUGGCUAAUACCGCAUGAGAUCUACGGAUGAAAGCAGGGGAUCGCAAGACCUUGUGCUACUAGAGCGGCCGAUGGCAGAUUAGGUAGUUGGUGGGAUAAAAGCUUACCAAGCCGACGAUCUGUAGCUGGUCUGAGAGGACGAUCAGCCACACUGGGACUGAGACACGGCCCAGACUCCUACGGGAGGCAGCAGUGGGGAAUUUUGGACGAUGGGCGCAAGCCUGAUCCAGCAAUGCCGCGUGCAGGAUGAAGGCCUUCGGGUUGUAAACUGCUUUUGUACGGAACGAAAAGCCCUGGGUUAAUACCCUGGGGUCAUGACGGUACCGUAAGAAUAAGCACCGGCUAACUACGUGCCAGCAGCCGCCGUAAGAC